rnacentral:rRNA from 1 species
CAGGACGAACGCUGGCGGCGUGCCUAACACAUGCAAGUCGAGCGGGGACAUUGCGACGGAAAUGAAGAUUCGGUUGGAUUUGAAGAUGUAAUGUCUAGCGGCGGACGGGUGAGUAACGCGUGAGCAACCUGUCCCUUACAGGGGGAUAACACAGCGAAAGUUGUACUAAUACCGCAUAAGACCACAGAGCGACAUCGCUCAGGGGUCAAAGGAGCAAUCCGGUAAGGGGUGGGCUCGCGUCCGAUUAGAUAGUUGGUGAGGUAACGGCCCACCAAGUCGACGAUCGGUAGCCGACCUGAGAGGGUGAUCGGCCACAUUGGGACUGAGACACGGCCCAAACUCCUACGGGAGGCAGCAGUGGGGAAUAUUGGGCAAUGGGGGGAAACCCUGACCCAGCAACGCCGCGUGAGGGAAGAAGGUUUUCGGAUCGUAAACCUCUGUCCUUGGUGAAGAGGAAGAGACGGUAGCCAAGGAGGAAGCCCCGGCUAACUACGUGCCAGCCGCAGC